rnacentral:rRNA from 1 species
GGGCGUGGGGGUCUACCAUGCAAGUCGAGCGCUGAACUCCCAGCUUGCUGGGGGUGGAUGAGUGGCGAACGGGUGAGUAACACGUGAGUAACCUGCCCCGAACUCUGGGAUAAGCGCUGGAAACGGCGUCUAAUACUGGAUAUGUCCUAUCACCGCAUGGUGUGUAGGUGGAAAGAAUUUCGGUUCGGGAUGGACUCGCGGCCUAUCACCUAGAUGGUGAGGUAAUGGCUCACCAUGGCGACGACGGGUACCCGGCCUGACAGGGUGACCGGCCACACUGGGACUGACACACGGCCCAGACUCCUACGGGAGGCAGCAGUGGGGAAUAUUGCACAAUGGGCGCAAGCCUGAUGCACCAACGCCGCGUGAGGGAUGACGGCCUUCGGGUUGUAAACCUCUUUUAGUAGGGAAGAAGCGCAAGUGACGGUACCUGCAGAAAAAGCACCGGCUAACUACCUGCCAGCAGCCGCGGUAAUACGUAGGGUGCAAGCGUUGUCCGGAAUUAUUGGGCGUAAAGAGCUCGUAGGCGGCUUGUCGCGUCUGCUGUGAAAACCAGACGCUCAACCUCUGGCCUGCAGUGGGUACGGGCAAGCUAGAGUGCGGUAGGGGAGAUUGAAAUUCCUGGUGUAGCGGUGGAAUGCGCAGAUAUCAUGAGGAACACCGAUGGCGAAUGCAGAUCUCUGGGCCGUAACUGACGCUGACGAGCGAAAGCAUGGGGAGCGAACAGGAUUAGAUACCCUGGUAGUCCAUGCCGUAACGUUGGGAACUAGAUGUAGGGCCUGUUCCACGGGUUCUGUGUCAUAGCUAUCGCAUUACUUUCCCCGCCUGGUGAGUACUGCCGCAAGGCUACAACUCAAAGAAAUGGACAGGU